rnacentral:rRNA from 1 species
GUGUCAGCAGCCGCGGUAAUACAGAGGUCCCAAGCGUUGAUCGGAUUCACUGGGCGUAAAGGGUGCGUAGGUGGUUUGGUAAGUCUGAUGUGAAAUCUCCGAGCUUAACUCGGAAAUGGCAUUGGAUACUAUCGAGCUAGAGGAUUGGAGGGGAGACUGGAAUUCUCGGUGUAGCAGUGAAAUGCGUAGAUAUCGAGAGGAACACCAGUGGCGAAGGCGAGUCUCUAGACAAUUCCUGACACUGAGGCACGAAAGCUAGGGGAGCAAACAGGAUUAGAAACCCUGGUAGUCC